rnacentral:rRNA from 1 species
GAUGAACGCUGGCGGCGUGCCUAAUACAUGCAAGUCGAGCGAACAGACGAGGAGCUUGCUCCUCUGACGUUAGCGGCGGACGGGUGAGUAACACGUGGAUAACCUACCUAUAAGACUGGGAUAACUUCGGGAAACCGGAGCUAAUACCGGAUAAUAUAUUGAACCGCAUGGUUCAAUAGUGAAAGACGGUUUUGCUGUCACUUAUAGAUGGAUCCGCGCCGCAUUAGCUAGUUGGUAAGGUAACGGCUUACCAAGGCAACGAUGCGUAGCCGACCUGAGAGGGGGAUCGGCCACACUGGAACUGAGACACGGGCCAGACUCCUACGGGAGGCAGCAGGAGGGAAUCUUCCGCAAUGGGCGAAAGCCUGACGGAGCAACGCCGCGUGAGUGAUGAAGGUCUUCGGAUCGUAAAACUCUGUUAAUAGGGAAGAACAAAUGUGUAAGUAACUAUGCACGUCUUGACGGUACCUAAUCAGAAAGCCACGGCUAACUACGUG